rnacentral:rRNA from 1 species
CCUACGGGUGGCAGCAGUAGGGAAUAUUGCUCAAUGGGGAAACCCUGAAGCAGCAACGCCGCGUUGAGGGUGAAGGUUUUAGGGUUGUAACCUCCUUUUGUUAGAGAAGGUUAUAACGGUAUCUAACGAAUAAGCCCCGGCUAACUCCGUGCCAGCAGCCGCGGUCAUACGGUGGGUGCAAGCGUUCCUCCGAAUCACGUGGCGUAAAGAGUGCGUAGGGGGGGGAAGAAGUCAGAUGUGAAAUCCUGUAGCUUAACUACAGACCUGCAUGUGAAAUUGUGACUCUGGAGUGUGGGAGGGGUAGGUGGAAUUCUGGGGGUAGGGGUAAAAUCCGUAGAGAUCAAGAGGAAUACUCAUGGCGAAGGCGACCUGCUGGAAAAUUACUGACGCUGAUGUACGAAAGCGUGGGGAGCAAACAGGAUUAGAUACCCCAGUAGUC